UACCCUGGCAAUGAGCAAAGAGACACUUUGUUGGUGUUGGUGUUCUUGUAUCAGUCAGGGACAGAGCAGAUGGCAGUCCUUCAGUCAUCCUAGUUUGGUGCCUGGCUUGGUGGCCAAAGCUGUCUUAUGUCUGAGUCUUGUAA
rfam:Mus musculus chromosome 3, GRC primary reference assembly.